AGCGGCCGGAACGGGAGCAGGAACGUGGCGGGGAUUGGAGCGGCAGCGGGACAACGGGAUCGGCGGGCGCAGCCGGGAGUAAAGCGGGGCUUUAAUAAGCCUGCGGCACCGCUCCGCUCACCGAGCCGUGCCGGGGAGCCGCGCUCCGCUCCUGCCGCGGCGAGGAGGUUUGGGCGGCCCCAAAUCCUCCACACUGGGGGCAGCGUCCCCGACAGCCGCGCCUGACCCUGACAGCUCUGGGAAACCUGGGCGAGAGAGGCGGGGAAUUACCGACCUCGACCUUUCCGGUCGCUCGGGGGCCGGACCGCAGGACAGCGGCGCCGGGCGCUGAACUCGCCCCGACUCGGUCGUGCUGAGGCGGGGUCCGAGCGCGGGGCCGCCCGGGGAGCGCCCCCGCCCCAGGGACCGGCCCCGCACCCGCGGCCCCUCACCCGCACCCGGGCUCGGUCCGUCCCCGCACCGCCGAAACGGGUUCGCAUUUGCGCUACAUGUAAGAGAAACACGAGCAGCUCCCCGAAAACGAGGAAGAACCGUAAGAACCGGGCGCCCCCACAACCGCAUCCCCAAGCGCUUUUCUUUGAGGCUUUCAGAAACUUGGUCCGGCAGCGCAGCGCAGACACGCGAACUGGUUUAACCCUUGCGUGCGUUUAUUACCAGUGACCCGCUCAAGCGAGCUCACCCCAGGCAAAGGGUAGAACUCAUCUGAGCAUGUCUCAUUAGGGAAGCUCGUUUACAUCCCAGUCUCCCAAACUGUUUAACUUGCAUGCAACUUGGCUUCAUAACCUCUCUGGGACCAGAAAUUCUGUCUGUUUUGCAAAUGGGUAAUGCAGUGGAAGACAGCUGCUAAGGAGAAUGAGACUUGUUUUUUUUAGGAAGGCACUUUCAGUUUAUGCUGCAGAAUACCAAGAGAUGAGAUACUACUGCAUUUAAUAUCAUGUUCCUGUUACUAUUCAACAGAAUGUGGGAAACCCAGGCUGCUGGGAUAUAAUUGGCAUUUUCUUCUCACCCCACCCAGUGAAAUCCCCAAAUCUUCUGUAAGGGCAACCUGAGAAACACAGCCAAAUGGAAAGUGGUUUUCUCAAAUCACUUAAGGGUAGAAGCAGCAAAAGUGAUCCAGGUUGUCUUCAACAACAGAGGGUGUUAAGUCAGUGUCCCACCAUUUUCAAUCGUCUGCUUCAAGUCUGAAUUCCCAUGGACUAUGUUUAGAGCUCUUGCUGGUUUUAAUGGUGCUCAAAACAAUAGACAUUGCAUCUGUAA